rnacentral:lncRNA from 1 species
GAAACCCAGCAUGCUCAUCACGGCCUCAGCACUGCCGCGGUUCUGGGUAUGCCGCAUGCUCACUCCAUCCCAGUCGCACCGUCCGCCACCUAUGAAUGUGACCUGAAAUGACGGAGGCCCAGAUUCAGAACCUCAGGUGGUUAGGAGCUGCCGUGUUCUUAAUGUGUAAAGUUUUCUGUUCCUGUAGAAACAUACAGUUCUACUUAUGGAAAAUAGGACUUUACAUGACCUUCUUACGGCAUUCCUUAGGGUGUAUAUAUCCAGCUAGUAUGUGUAGGAUUAUAUUGUGUUUAAAACAUUUGGUUUUAAAAAUUGCAUUUUAGGGCCAGCAAGGUGGCUCAGCAGGUAACAACCCUCGUGGCCAAGCCUGACCCAGGUUCCGUCCCUGGGACCCAUGUGGUGGAAACACAGAGCUAACUUGUGCAAGUUGUCCUCUGAUUUCUACAUGCAUGCUGUGGCACACCCAAAAUUAAUUAACCGUGUAAAACAAAUUAAAAAAAAUUGUUCUUUA